GGUACUGGUACACCCAGAACUUCUUCCUGGGGCUUCCAGAAUCCGAAGGACAUCUCUCUGCAGGCAGCAACCGCACAGCUUAAUUCUUCCAGACUGAACCACUUCAGAUUUAUGCCAGUGGAAAGCAAACAUUGUUUGCACCACAGCCAAGGCUGUCACCGGCUCCUUCUUACUGUGAAGAGACCAGCAGAGAGGUGGCUGCUUUUCUGUCACACAGCUUAUGCAGGGGUAACAUUUAACUGAGGUCUGUCCACCCUCGAGGCCUGUGCUUGUUCAAAGGCCAGAAGUCUUUCCUCAACUCCGUGGAUAAUAGCUUGGGUUUAAAUCCCAAUAACACCGAGGGAAGAUGAAUGGCAGUGCUAUUGAAUGUGGCUAAAAUUGGAUACUUCAGCACAGCUCUGAAGAGGGAAAUAAUCCCGCCCAAGGAAGCGCUGAGAAUUAAAUGCGGUGGUGUUUGAAGACUGUUGCAAAGCACACAUCCUGCAGCCACUGCAGGCACAGCAUCCGACAGUAACGCGCAGCUCUGCAGCUCUGCAGCUCUGCCGGCCGCCACGCCCUCCACCACCAUCACAGUGAUCAGGCUGGCUACAAACGAGAUCUGCCAAUCUAUACACAAACACAAACCCCGCAUGCCCAGGCUCUCCGAGGGGCUAGAACUCCAUGCUCAGCACCCUUUGUAGAUCACAAGUUCCCAUGAACAAUCUAGCAAGCCACCCAAAGUCAUAGAGUACAAAUUAAAUUGACAAGCAAAACUAACAGAUCCACGGAGACAGUCUAAAAUAUUAUGGGCUUCACAAUCUGAAGCAGAAUGGAUAUUUUAAUGGAGAAGAUUAAAGUUAGAGGCACCAAAUUCUUCCAGUAACUGACAAAGCAUCCUGGAGUGAUGUGCCAAUUACUUUAUACGGUCCUCUCGUGUAUUCAUUUGUCUGAAUGCAUGUAUUUAUGUCUGUAAUAAGUAAGGAGAGGCUUGAAUAAAAUACUUUUCUAAAAAUAAA